UACGAGGGGGGCUAGCGUUGCUCGGAAUUACUGGGCGUAAAGGGCGCGUAGGCGGGUCGUUUAGUUAGAGGUGAAAGCCCAGGGCUCAACCCUGGAAUUGCCUUUAAUACUGGCGGCCUUGAGUAUGGCAGAGGUGUGUGGAACUCCGAGUGUAGAGGUGAAAUUCGUAGAUAUUCGGAAGAACACCAGUGGCGAAGGCGACACACUGGGCCAUUACUGACGCUGAGGCGCGAAAGCGUGGGGAGCAAACAGG
rnacentral:rRNA from 1 species